AAGGAUCAUUAUUGAAUAAACUUGAACAGGCUGUUGCUGGGCUCCUUCAAAGGGGGUGUUGUGCACGCUUGUCAUCUUUAUCUCUCCAACUGUGCACAUAUUGUAGACCUGGGAGUUGUUUGAUUUGUUUCAAGAGUUGGGACUGCUGUGCUUUUUUACAAGUCGGCUUUGCCUUGAAUUUUCGGGUCUAUGUCAUUUUAUCACAAACCUAUGAAUUUGUUUUGAAUGUUGAAUCAGGUCCAAAUAUAAUACAACUUUCAGCAACGGAUCUCUUGGCUCUC
rnacentral:misc_RNA from 1 species